AAAUAUCGAAUGUAAAAGGAAUUAGAUGAAAAAAAGUUGAUUGUCGAUAAGUUUAUCUUGAAAAUUUUUCUCUAUCUCGAAGAUAUAACGCGUGAGAAAAUGAAACGUGUUGAUUAAAUAUUGCUUAUUGCUUCAUGAUCGGUCAUUGCAAUAAGUAUUUGUGAUAAAUUGUUUCUUUAGAAUCAUUUAAAAAGGAGAAAUUUAUUCGGCAUAUUUAAAAUCGUGCAAAACGGUUUUCCAUAAUUGUGUCAAAUUAAAUAAAAUCGAUUAAUAACAAACUUACAGUAAAUCUCCUUUCGGGAGAUUGAGAAAACGGAUUGAUAAAAAAUGAUGGAUAGAGAUUUUAAGAAAUUUUAAGAGAUUUUAAAUUACACCGUACCACCGUAAUUACCACAUUAUCCUCGCCAUCCUCUGCAAUUUUUUUCUUACAUUUCAAGGGACACGAGCAUUCUUGGUUAAGUACGUAUGAAUUAUCCUUUGGAAGAAGAAAAGAUAACAUAUAUAAAUCUAGAUAACAAAAAAUAUAUAUUUUACAAUACCAUUACAUUGCUAUGAUUUUAAAUAGAUUGUUAUCUUCAUAUAGAUUACAUAGUAAUCUUUG